rnacentral:rRNA from 1 species
GACGAACGCUGGCGGCGUGCUUAACACAUGCAAGUCGAACGGAAAGGCCCUGCUUUUGUGGGGUGCUCGAGUGGCGAACGGGUGAGUAACACGUGAGUAACCUGCCCUUGACUUUGGGAUAACUUCAGGAAACUGGGGCUAAUACCGGAUAGAAGCUCCUGCUGCAUGGUGGGGGUUGGAAAGUUUCGGCGGUUGGGGAUGGACUCGCGGCUUAUCAGCUUGUUGGUGGGGUAGUGGCUUACCAAGGCUUUGACGGGUAGCCAGCCUGAGAGGGUGACCGGCCACAUUGGGACUGAGAUACGGCCCAGACUCCUACGGGAGGCAGCAGUGGGGAAUAUUGCACAAUGGGCGGAAGCCUGAUGCAGCAACGCCGCGUGCGGGAUGACGGCCUUCGGGUUGUAAACCGCUUUCGCCUGUGACGAAGCGUGAGUGACGGUAAUGGGUAAAGAAGCACCGGCUAACUACGUG